AAACCCUUCAAGCACUGCUUGGUGUUGGGCGCUUGUCCCGCUUCCGGCGCGGACUCGCCUCAAAAACAUUGGCGGCCUGUGUAUUGGCUUCGAGCGCAGCAGACCCGCGCGUCGUCUCCUCCAGCAUGGGCGUCCAUCAAGACGUACACCCAA
rnacentral:misc_RNA from 1 species